GGUGAGGUAAGGUGUGAGUUCAUUACGUCCGGUGAGGUAAGGUGUAAGUUCAUUAUGUCUGGUGAGGUAAGGUGUGAGUUCAUUCAUUACGUCUAGUGAGGUAAGGUGUGAGUUCAUUACGUCUGGUGAGGUAAGGUGUAAGUUCAUUACGUCUGGUGAGGUAAGUUGUGAGUUCAUUAUGUCUUGUGAGGUAAGGUGUGAGUUCAUUACGUCUGGUGAGGUAAGGUGUAAGUUCAUUCAUUACGUCUGGUGAGGUAAGGUGUGAGUUCAUUACGUCUGGUGAGGUAAGGUGUAAGUUCAUUCAUUAUGUCUGGUAAGGUAAGGUGUGAGAUCAUUACGUAUGGUG
ensembl:lncRNA